rnacentral:rRNA from 1 species
CCCUUAGAUGUUCUGGGCCGCACGCGUGCUACACUGAGUGGAUCAGCGGGUCAGGUUGCGCGAGAGUGUUUCCUAAUCUUGAAAUCCGCUCGUGAUGGGGAUUGACGGUUGCAAUUUUCCGUCAUGAACGAGGAAUACCUUGUAAGCGCGGGUCAUCAUCCCGCGCUGAAUACGUCCCUGCCCUUUGUACACACCGCCCGUCGCUCCUACCGAUUGAGUGGUCCGGUGAGGCUUUGGGAUCUGAGCAAAAAGAGCGUUUCGCUCGUUUGGCUCGGAAAACUCAGUCGAACCUUAUCAUUUAGAGGAAGGAGAAGUCGUAACA